rnacentral:rRNA from 1 species
CCUACGGGUGGCAGCAGUAGGGAAUCUUUCACAAUGGGCGAUAGCCUGAUGGAGCAACGCCGCGUGCAGGAUGCAGGCCUUCGGGUUGUAAACUGCUUUUAUAAGCGAGAAAUAUGAUGGUAACUUAUGAAUAAGGAUCGGCUAACUACGUGCCAGCAGCCGCGGUCAUACGUAGGAUCCGAGCAUUAUCCGGAGUGACUGGGUGUAAAGAGUUGCGUAGGUGGAAUAAUAAGUAGCUAGUGAAAUCUGGUGGCUCAACCAUUCAGACUAUUAGCUAAACUGUUAAGCUCGAGACCGUUAGGGGUAACUGGAAUUUCUAGUGUAGGAGUGAAAUCCGUAGAUAUUAGAAGGAACACCAAUAGCGUAGGCAGGUUGCUGGGACGGUUCUGACACUAAGGCACGAAAGCGUAGGGAGCAAACGGGAUUAGAUACCCUAGUAGUC